rnacentral:rRNA from 1 species
GACAGAGGGUGCAAACGUUGUUCGGAAUUACUGGGCGUAGAGCGCGUGUAGGCGGCCCUGCAAGUCGGAUGUGAAAUCCCACGGCUCAACCGUGGAAGUGCAUUCGAAACUGCAGGGCUAGAGUCCUGGAGAGGAAGGUGGAAUGCUUGGUGUAGAGGUGAAAUUCGUAGAUAUCAAGCGGAACACCGGUGGCGAAGGCGGCCUUCUGGACAGUGACUGACGCUGAGACGCGAAAGCGUGGGGAGCAAACAGG